rnacentral:rRNA from 1 species
AUUGAACGCUGGCGGCAUGCCUUACACAUGCAAGUCGAAUGGUAACGGGCCUUCGGGUGCCGACGAGUGGCGAACGGGUGAGUAAUGUAUCGGAACGUACCUUUCAGUGGGGGAUAACGUAGCGAAAGUUACGCUAAUACCGCAUAUUCUGUGAGCAGGAAAGCAGGGGAUCGCAAGACCUUGCGCUGAUUGAGCGGCCGAUAUCAGAUUAGCUAGUUGGUGAGGUAAAGGCUCACCAAGGCGACGAUCUGUAUCGGGUCUGAGAGGAUGAUCCGCCACACUGGAACUGAGACACGGUCCAGACUCCUACGGGAGGCAGCAGUGGGGAAUUUUGGACAAUGGGGGCAACCCUGAUCCAGCCAUGCCGCGUGAGUGAAGAAGGCCUUCGGGUUGUAAAGCUCUUUCGGCCGGGAAGAAAUCGUAUCAGCUAAUACCUGGUGCGGAUGACGGUACCGGCAUAAGAAGCACCGGCUAACUACGUGCCAGCAGCCGCAGUAACAC